GUUAAUGUCAGUUAUAGAGCUCUUCUUUAAUGUCUUCCUUUAUAAAUUGGAAUUGUUUAAUGUCUUCUUUUAUUGUCAGUUCUUUGACAUGGAUUUUGAGGUUGGAUAAUGGUUUUUGACAUAGAUGAUUAGGUUUAGGGUUUACUAUAAUUGGACACUAUUAAUGGUUGAUGUGGGAUUUAGUAUUUCAAUUGCAUUCAUGUUUGUUUAUUUGUUUGUUCAGCAGUUAUCGACUUGAAUGAGAGGAAGGAAUUAUGGACUUUGUCACGAUUGCAGAAGCAACACUCAAAACUUUGGACAAUGUCAAAUAAAACGCCGAUGCCCUUUGUAUAAACAUAACAUCGAAAAUAUUUUACCAAAUGCACCUGACUUUCCGCAGAGUAAAAGGAAUUGCGAAGUUUGAUGGGAAAUGAAAGGGUUCAACACGAACGGUUGAUUUGAGUUAUAUUUGUGGUAGAUAGACUACUAUGAUUUCAAUUUGAAUUUUCUAUAUAGAUUAUUGUAACAUACGAAUGGUUAGGUCAUUGUAGGCUAUACGAAGUAUGGUUAAUUUUGUCAAAAUUGUUUGAUAAUUCGACAUAUG
rnacentral:lncRNA from 1 species